GACGAACGCUGGCGGCGUGCUUAACACAUGCAAGUCGAACGGAGGAUUUAUUUCGGUAAAUCCUUAGUGGCGAACGGGUGAGUAACGCGUGGGCAAUCUGCCCUUCAGAUGGGGGCAACAUCCCGAAAGGGGUGCUAAUACCGAAUACGAUCACGCUGCCGCAUGGCGGUGUGAUGAAAGAUGGCCUCUAUUUAUAAGCUAUCGCUGAAGGAUGAGCCUGCGUCUGAUUAGCUAGUUGGUGGGGUAACGGCCUACCAAGGCGAUGAUCAGUAGCCGGUCUGAGGGGAUGAACGGCCACAUUGGGACUGAGACACGGCCCAAACUCCUACGGGAGGCAGCAGUGGGGAAUAUUCCGCAAUGGACGAAAGUCUGACGGAGCAACGCCGCGUGAGUGAUGAAGGUUUUCGGACUGUAAAGCUCUGUUGUUUAGGACGAAAGUGCCUGUUGCGAACAGUUACAGGUAUUGACAGUACUGAACGAGGAAGCCACGGCUAACUACGUGCCAGCCGCCGCCGUAA
rnacentral:rRNA from 1 species